ensembl:lncRNA
UUCCUCAUAUAAAACAAUCAUGUCUCUUAAAUCACUAAAUUGGAUUACUUUUACAUCAUUUUUAUGAACAUUUUGAAUCGUCAAGGAUUAUUAAAAGGAUUUCUAUAUUUUAUCCACUCAAUAGUCUACAAUAUAAUAGCCAUAUAAACGUAGCCUAAUUAUAAUAAAAAAACAUAGUGGGAAAUUCAGUGAUAUUGGCUGUGCAAUAUCGACUUUUGUGAUUGGCCAAUACCGGCAGACUGGAGCCAAUGGAAAUGCUUCUCCUUCCGUGCGCGUCUUAUUCCUCUGAGAACUUCAAAGCAGACCGCUUGAGGAACUUCAUCACUGAAUUUCUAGAAGAGAGACAACUGGGCCUACAAGACUUUCUACAAAACCUGGUUGCUCAUAAAGAUGUGCUAAAUAGGCCUUCUGUGAGACACUGGGAGGGACCAACUGUUGCCUUCAGAGAGACUUAAUGGAGAGAGACUGAGCCCCUGAGAAAUGUCCUGCUGCACAAAGAGCUCCAAAUGAGCCAGCCGGAGAGAACAAAAACCCAAGCGGAGCUGAACAGAGAGCCCAGAGACUUUUUAACAGCACAUGAAUAUAAAGAAGUGGAGAGAGAUGAUCUCAGGAGACCAAAUAAAAGUUCUGAACUAGGGUUCAUAAGGUGUCAUGGAUCAUGCUGGUGCGGAUCAGCAACUGACAGUCCAGAAAAGCAUAGUUCUGAAGGACCAUUCCAAGAACCCCAUCAAAGAAAUUAAAAGGAAAAAUAACAAGCACCAAAUAUAGGGCAAUUUCUUCAAAUCUUCUGCUUGUUCUUAGUCCAUAAUAAGAACAGAAAAGCUGCUUUGUUUAUUUUGAAUGAAUCAAACCAGUUGGUGCCAGGAAAUGAUUUGGAGCGCAAACACUUUUAAUGACUUAACUGAAAGAUGUUGCUUAAAUCAUUUAAAGAUGUAUAUGAGUGCAUGUGUGAUUCUACCAGUUUGUUUUUUAGAGAUUUUAUAUAGGACAUCUGAGUCAAACUCACAUUUGGACUAAAGCAGCCAAAGUAGUGAGAUCACUUGCUCUCCGAUACAAUAUUGUUUACAAUUUUCUGUUUGUUACCCAGAUUUUGGACUUCUGUUUUGGAUUACUCACAUUUGGGUAUUGGCUUUUUGAUUUGGAUUGCAGAAUAAAUCGAUACAGUCGGGUCCUUCUGAUUUAUCC